rnacentral:tRNA from 1 species
GGGCCCGUAGCUCAGUUGGUUAGAGCAGCGGACUCAUAAUCCGUAGGUCGCAGGUUCGAAUCCUGCCGGGCCCACCA